UCGGGAAUAUUGCGCAAUGGAGGAAACUCUGACGCAGUGACGCCGCGUGCAGGAAGAAGGUUUUCGGAUUGUAAACUGCUUUAGACAGGGAAGAAACAAGACAGUACCUGUAGAAUAAGCUCCGGCUAACUACGUGCCAGCAGCCGCGGUAAUACGUAGGGAGCAAGCGUUAUCCGGAUUUAUUGGGUGUAAAGGGUGCGUAGACGGGAAGUCAAGUUAGUUGUGAAAUCCCUCGGCUUAACUGAGGAACUGCAACUAAAACUAACUUUCUUGAGUGCUGGAGAGGAAAGUGGAAUUCCUAGU
rnacentral:rRNA from 1 species